rnacentral:misc_RNA from 1 species
UGCUCGUGGCCGGCCUGGGCUGGCCCAACGCGCUCACGUUGUCGCUCGCCACCGACGAGCUGUUCUUCGCCGACGCGCGCGACGACUACAUCGCCGUCGCGAACCUCGACGGCUCGAACGUGCGCAUUCUGUUCUCGCGAGACCGCAUGCCGUGGCUACGCCUGCACCACGUGUUCGCGCUGGCCGUGUGGGCGGGCCGCGUGUACUGGACCGACUGGGAGACGCGCGCGCUGGAGUCGUGCCGCCGCGUGCCCGACCCCGACUACAACGUG